AUGAACGCUGGCGGCGUGCUUAACACAUGCAAGUCGAACGAACCUUCGGGUUAGUGGCGGACGGGUGAGUAACGCGUGAGAAUCUGCCCUCAGGAGGGGGAUAACGGCUGGAAACGGCCGCUAAUACCCCAUAUGCCGCGAGGUGAAAUGAAUUUCGCCUGAGGAUGAGCUCGCGUCUGAUUAGCUAGUUGGUGUAGGUAAUGGCUCACCAAGGCAUCGAUCAGUAGCUGGUCUGAGAGGAUGAUCAGCCACACUGGGACUGAGACACGGCCCAGACUCCUACGGGAGGCAGCAGUGGGGAAUUUUCCGCAAUGGGCGCAAGCCUGACGGAGCAACGCCGCGUGAGGGAUGAAGGCCUCUGGGCUGUAAACCUCUUUUAUCAAGGAAGAAGAUCUGACGGUACUUGAUGAAUAAGCCACGGCUAAUUCCGUGCCAGCAGCCGCGGUAAUACGGGAGUGGCAAGCGUUAUCCGGAAUUAUUGGGCGUAAAGCGUCCGCAGGCGGCCCUUCAAGUCUGCUGUUAAAACGUGGAGCUUAACUCCAUCAUGGCAGUGGAAACUGUUGGGCUUGAGUGUGGUAGGGGCAGAGGGAAUUCCCCGGUGUAGCGGUGAAAUGCGUAGAUAUCGGGAAGAACACCAGUGGCGAAGGCGCUCUGCUGGGCCAUCACUGACGCUCAUGGACGAAAGCCAGGGGAGCGAAAGGGAUUAGAUACCCCUGUAGUCCUGGCCGUAAACGAUGAACACUAGGUGUUGGGGGAAUCGACCCCUUCGGUGUCGUAGCCAACGCGUUAAGUGUUCCCGCCUGGGGAGUACGCACGCAAGUGUGAAACUCAAAGGAAUUGACGGGGGCCCGCACAAGCGGUGGAGUAUGUGGUUUAAUUCGAUGCAACGCGAAGAACCUUACCAGGGUUUGACAUCCUGCGAAUCUCUUGGAAACGAGAGAGUGCCUUCGGGAGCGCAGUGACAGGUGGUGCAUGGCUGUCGUCAGCUCGUGUCGUGAGAUGUUGGGUUAAGUCCCGCAACGAGCGCAACCCACGUCUUUAGUUGCCAGCAUUUAGUUGGGCACUCUAGAGAGACCGCCGGUGAUAAACCGGAGGAAGGUGUGGAUGACGUCAAGUCAUCAUGCCCCUUACAUCCUGGGCUACACACGUACUACAAUGCUACGGACAAAGGGCAGCAAGUUCGCGAGGACAAGCAAAUCCCAUAAACCGUGGCUCAGUUCAGAUCGUAGGCUGCAACUCGCCUACGUGAAGUAGGAAUCGCUAGUAAUCGCAGGUCAGCAUACUGCGGUGAAUACGUUCCCGGGCC
rnacentral:rRNA from 1 species